UGGGGAAUCUUGGACAAUGGGGGCAACCCUGAUCCAGCGACGCCGCGUGGGUGAUGAAGGCCUUCGGGUUGUAAAGCCCUUUCACCGGGGACGAUGAUGACGGUACCCGGAGAAGAAGCACCGGCUAACUCCGUGCCAGCAGCCGCGGUAAGACGGAGGGUGCUAGCGUUGUUCGGAAUCACUGGGCGUAAAGGGCGCGUAGGCGGCGUCGCAAGUCGGCUGUGAAAGCCCGGGGCUCAACCUCGGAGGUGCGGCCGAGACUGCGGUGCUCGAGGUCGGAAGAGGAGGGUGGAAUACCCAGUGUAGAGGUGAAAUUCGUAGAUAUUGGGUGGAACACCGGUGGCGAAAGCGGCUCUCUGGUCCGAAUCUGACGCUGAGGCGCGAAAGCGUGGGGAGCAAACAAGAUUAGAUACCCUGGUAGUCCACGCCCUAAACGAUGUGAGCUAGGCGUCGGGGGGCUUGCCCUUCGGUGCCGCAGCUAACGCAUUAAGCUCACCGCCUGGGGAGUACGGCCGACG
rnacentral:rRNA from 1 species